GCAGAAUUGGUGUAAAUGGCUGGAUUUAGGAGAGGUGUGAUGACUGCAUAAAAUACAGCAAGAAACUUGUCCACCCAGGGGAUACUGACUGGCCACAAAUAAAUGAAGAUGCAAGGCCCAAAGAAUAACACUACCACCGUGAUGUGGGCAGUGCAGAACAGUCCCUUAAUCCAGGAAAACCAUGGACUCUGAUGAUUACGGAUACGUAAGAAGAGGCCUUCCUCAACCAGGACAUCUAUCGAGCUGUGAGACUGUCUAGAAAUCAUUCCCUUUGAUGCUGUAGGGAGUACAGAAGUCCCAAGAUGCAGCUGGAAGAAAACUCUUGAUAACUCUGGAAGCUAUCCAGCACU
rnacentral:lncRNA from 1 species